UCCUACGGGAGGCAGCAGUGGGGAAUAUUGCACAAUGGGGGGAACCCUGAUGCAGCCAUGCCGCGUGAAUGAAGAAGGCCUUCGGGUUGUAAAGUUCUUUCGGUGACGAGGAAGGCGACUGUUUUAAUAGAACAGUCGAUUGACGUUAAUCACAGAAGAAGCACCGGCUAACUCCGUGCCAGCAGCCGCGGUAAUACGGGGGGUGCGAGCGUUAAUCGGAAUAACUGGGCGUAAAGGGCACGCAGGCGGUUGUUUAAGUGAGGUGUGAAAGCCCCGGGCUUAACCUGGGAAUUGCAUUUCAGACUGGACAACUAGAGUACUUUAGGGAGGGGUAGAAUUCCACGUGUAGCGGUGAAAUGCGUAGAGAUGUGGAGGAAUGCCGAAGGCGAAGGCAGCCCCUUGGGAAUGUACUGACGCUCAUGUGCGAAAGCGUGGGGAGCAAACAGGAUUAGAUACCCUGGUAGUCC
rnacentral:rRNA from 1 species